CUACGAGGGGCAGCAGUCGAGAAUCUUCCGCAAUGGACGAAAGUCUGACGGAGCGACGCCGCGUGCGGGAUGAAGGCCUUCGGGUUGUAAACCGCUGUCAGUGGGGAGGAAAUGCAUCAGGGUUCUCCCUGGUGUUUGACCGAUCCGCAGAGGAAGCGCAGGCUAAGUUCGUGCCAGCAGCCGCGGUAACACGAACUGCGCGAACGUUAUUCGGAAUCACUGGGCUUAAAGAGUUCGUAGGCGGCCUUUCAAGUCGGGUGUGAAAUCCCUCGGCUCAACCGGGGAAUUGCGCCUGAUACUGUUGGGCUUGAGGGGGAUAGGGGUGAGCGGAACUGAUGGUGGAGCGGUGAAAUGCGUUGAUAUCAUCAGGAACACCGGUGGCGAAGGCGGCUCACUGGAUCUCUUCUGACGCUGAGGAACGAAAGCUAGGGGAGCGAACAGGAUUAGAUACCCUUGUAGUC
rnacentral:rRNA from 1 species